CUCAGUUGGUUAGAGCGCGCGCUUGAUAAGCGUGAGGUCGGAAGUUCAAGUCUUCCCAGGCCCACCAUUUCAUCGAGCGCAUGCGUCUCUACUCAGCCUGUAGCAUUCGUCUUCUGGUUACGGGGCCAUAGCUCAGCUGGGAGAGCGCGUGCUUUGCAAGCAUGAGGUCGUCGGUUCGAUCCCGUCUGGCUCCACCAGAUGAAGUCGAAGAUCGACGCUGCAGUCAUCGUCAUCAAGUCGUCCGCGAAACAUCAAUUCGCACACGUUAUCCGCAACCGGAUGCGUUGUGCGUGAUUUCUGACAUCGUAAAGAGGAGAUCGAUCCGAGUUGGAUCGUGCAAGCAAUUGCGCGGCCCUUCACUAUCUCCGGAUCAUUUCGGCGCUCGGCCAUCGCGAGAUGUUCGAGUUGUAAAUGAUCUCGUUAGCGAAGCCUGACCGCCUCGCUAUCGGUUCGAUCUUACGAAGCAAGCUGGUCUUUCUAGUCAAUGUCCGGCUGCGCAAGUCUUCCUUCGGGAGAGCGUGCGCGGCAUACAUUCUGCCGAGUGUGUGGACAUUGAUAAUGAGAGCAAUCAAGUGCCUUAAGGGUGUUCGGUGGAUGCCUUGGCGCUGAGAGGCGACGAAGGACGUGCUACGCUGCGAUAAGCCGUGGGGAGCUGCGAAGAAG
rnacentral:rRNA from 1 species